rnacentral:lncRNA from 1 species
AACGCGGACCCGACCCGCAGCGGGCCGCGCUUCGUAAGGCCGCGUGGUGGGGUGCAAGGGGACAGACGACGUUCUUUUGGGUCUUUGGGCCGGUGUUUAGGUUAACGAAGGACCGUCUUUGCCUCCACGGAAAGGACGGAGUCUGGGAUGUCUUUGGGGCCUCUUAAGAUGGAAACUAAUCCAAGGCCGACUAAGUUCUGG